CCUACGGGUGGCAGCAGUGAGGAAUAUUGGUCAAUGGACGAGAGUCUGAACCAGCCAAGUAGCGUGAAGGAUGACUGCCCUAUGGGUUGUAAACUUCUUUUAUAUGGGAAUAAAAUGUUCCACGUGUGGGAUUUUGUAUGUACCAUAUGAAUAAGGAUCGGCUAACUCCGUGCCAGCAGCCGCGGUAAUACGGAGGGUCCGAGCGUUAUCCGGAUUUAUUGGGUUUAAAGGACGCGUAGGUGGAUUGUUAAGUCAGUUGUGAAAGUUUGGGGCUCAACCGGAAAAUUGCAGUUGAAACUGGCAGUCUUGAGUGCAGUAGAGGGGGGCGGAAUUCGUGGUGUAGCGGUGAAAUGCUUAGAGAUCACGAAGAAUACCGAUGGCGAAGGCAGCUCACUGGACUGAAACUGACACUGAGGCUCGAAAGUGUGGGUAUCAAACAGGAUUAGAUACCCUAGUAGUC
rnacentral:rRNA from 1 species